UAACUGCGUGCAGACGUGUGAACUGCAGGACACAUGAACACCGACAUUUCGAACGCAAAUGGCGGCUUGAAAUAACUUUCAAGCCACGUCUGGCUGAGGGUCGGAUAUGAAAAUAUCAAUAAAAGAUAGUCAACUAAAUGUAAAUAUGAGUUGACAUUACAUCGCCAAGUCGUAAAAAAGCUUGGUUAGAGUAAAGACUUUGUAAACGGUCAUGCAUCUUAGUUACACUUAAACCUUUGCUUUAUGUUGUAACGGCAGCAAUGUAUGCUCAAUAGAAAGUAUUUGCUGUAGCAUUGUCUCUAAACCUUCUUUUGAAUAGAAUUUAUUCUAUUUCAAAAAGAUCAUAUCAUACUAGCGACCUCAGAGUAGGCGAGACUACCCGCUUAAUUUAA
rnacentral:misc_RNA from 1 species